rnacentral:rRNA from 1 species
UACGAAGGGGGCUAGCGUUGCUCGGAAUCACUGGGCGUAAAGCGCACGUAGGCGGCUUUCUAAGUCAGGGGUGAAAUCCUGGAGCUCAACUCCAGAACUGCCUUUGAUACUGGAGAGCUUGAGUCCGGAAGAGGUGAGUGGAACUCCGAGUGUAGAGGUGAAAUUCGUAGAUAUUCGGAAGAACACCAGUGGCGAAGGCGGCUCACUGGCCCGGUACUGACGCUGAGGUACGAAAGCGUGGGGAGCAAACAGG